rnacentral:rRNA from 1 species
CACGUAGGCGGAUCAUUAAGUCGGGGGUGAAAUCCUGGAGCUCAACUCCAGAACUGCCUUCGAUACUGAAGAUCUCGAGUCCGGGAGAGGUGAGUGGAACUCCGAGUGUAGAGGUGAAAUUCGUAGAUAUUCGGAAGAACACCAGUGGCGAAGGCGGCUCACUGGCCCGGUCUAACGCUGAGGUGCGAAAGCGUGGGAGCAAACA